AAAUUGUCACAUGACCAGAGCUGUUUACUUCCUGGUUGCACCAUGAUAAGACGAUGGCUGCAUGAAAGCUCCCAAACAAAAGUUUCACUUUGAGUCAAGUUAUGGAUAUGUUGGAUCUAGGUUACUGCCCAGACAAGCGAUGGGUCAGAUAUGGAUUAUGAGGGGGAGACAGGCCAUUUGCCAGCCAGGCUGUUGAAUGUAUAUGCUGAACCUAUGCAAACUGAUCAUGGCAGGAACAACAUUAUCAGUGAUGAUGACCUACCCCUCACCACGCCACAAUCUCCUUCCUGAGACUGGGUUGGGUCAUGGACCCAGUGUCGUUCUUGGUGUUGCAGAGCAAUCUCAGGUGCCUCAAGGUUGCAAGAUCCUUCAUGACAACCUCUUCACUUCGCUUGCUCUCCUCGAUGAAAUGACAAAAAGAGGAUAUGGGAGCUCUGGAACGAUGAGGCAAAAUCGUCUGUUUGACGUCCCAUUCAAGCCACAGAAGGACUUCAUGAAGUUACCCCGGGGAACCUCUGAGGUUCUGACCCAAGGAGACAAGGUGCUGGUCCGUUAGAAAGACAAUACCAUUGUCACAGUGGCAACAAACAUGGAGGAGAAAUACAGUGAGACCUCUGUCAAGAGAUAGAACAAGGAGCGACGUGCCUUUUGACAAAGUCCCACAACCAAAAUGCAUCAACCGAUACAAUGAGCACAUGGGUGGUGUUGAACUUCACAACCUACAGGUUUCAAGAUACCAUAUUUCCAUCAGGUCUAAGAAGUGGUGGUGGCCCAUCUUUGCAUGGUCUCUCAACAGUGCACUCGUAAACAGCCAUUUAUUUUACGGGAGGGACCAUCAAUCUGCUCACCUUCUCAUGGAUAGUGACACAGUCUCUUAUGCAAAUGUUUGGCACGAAACCACUGAGCCAUGGAAGGAGAUCUCUACUGGCUGCUACUGUUGAAGAUCAGGCAAGAUAUGACAAAGCUUCUCACUGGCCAAUCAAGACGAUGCACCGGUUCCACAGAUGUCGUCAUUGUGACAAACGCACACCUAUGCAUGUGAGAAAUGCAAAGCGCCACUUCACAUUGAGUGCUUCAAGAUAUACCAUGGACAGCAGAUAAGGAGAUAAGAGAGAAUUAAAAAGGGCUGAAAAAGACAAUAAAAGAAAAAUAGAAAAGUCAAUAAAGUGUGAGGAGAAGCAGUACAACAGACUCUAGGAAGAAAAGAAAGUCAAAGUGUGAGGAGAAGCAGUACAACGGACUCUAGGAAGAAAAGAAAGCCAAAGAGUGAGGAGAAGCAGUACAACGGACUCUAGGAAGGAAAGAAAGCCAAAGAGUGAGGAGAAGCAGUACAACGGACUCUAUGAAGAAAAGAAAAGUCAAAGUGUGAGGAGAAGCAGUACAACGGACUCUAGGAAGAAAAGAAAGUCAAAGUGUGAGGAGAAGCAGUACAACGGACUCUAGGAAGAAAGGAAAGUCAAAGAGUGAGGAGAAGCAGUACAAC